rnacentral:rRNA from 1 species
GUCCACGCUGUAAACGAUGGGCACUAGGUGUCCGGGGUAUUGACCCCCUGGGUGCCGCAGCUAACGCAUUAAGUGCCCCGCCUGGGGGAGUACGGUCGCAAGAUUAAAACUCAAAGGAAUUGACGGGGGCCCGCACAAGCGGUGGAGCAUGUGGUUCAAUUCGACGCAACGCGAAGAACCUUACCUGGGCUAGACAACGGUGGACCGUCCUAGAAAAUAGGAUCUUCCCUUCGGGGACCACCGGUUCAGGUGCUGCAUGGCUGUCGU